AUAUUGAAUUCUAGAUGAGUGGUGAAAGCUUAUGCAAUGAUUUCACAUGUAGAAAGUAGAUCAAGAUUUAAUUUUAAUAUGGUAUGCUCAAAGACUAGAAGAGAUAAAGAAACUUAAAGCUUUGUUCUAGCUCUAUCUAUAAAUUUUUUUUUUAGAAGGUUGGAUCUUUUGCUAGAAUUCAUCCGAUAGCCUUGGAGGAUUCAAAUAGGUCC
rnacentral:lncRNA from 1 species